CUCCUCCCUCUUCUCCAGAGGCUGGGUGGGAGGUGCCUAGAGAGGCUAUUUCCCUGUUGCUUGUACUCAAACUGAGCCACCUAGCUUCCUGGAAAGAGCCUGAGUCAUUGCUGCCAGAUGAAUCUCCUUCUAUACUUUUUUUUUUUUUUGAGAUAGGAUCAUACCCUAUGUCAUGCUGGGAUUACAGGGUAAACCACCACAGCCAGCUCCACCGCUGCCUCCACACACCCUCUUUUGUGGGAGAUCUAUUUCUACAUUUGGUGAGCUGAAGCUGUGACUUGAGAUCAGAGCUCUCAUAACUGACUAAUGUCCAUCUUGUGGAAAGACAAAAAUGAACUUGGACUUCUGAUCUUCCUGCCUCCAUCUGCCCAGGGCUGGACUUUCCUUACCUCUUGCUUGUAGCCUAGUAUUCAAGAUCCUAGGUGACAAUUGAGAGUCCCCAUCUGUAUUUUUGUGUCCCAGAGCUGAAGUGGCAGCUGAAUGACUUUGCCUACUCAUCAUUCUCUCCAGUGUAGGGACCAUGAUCUUGGAUUUCACUUGAAUGCCAUCAUUUGGACCUUCAUUUAUUAUUUGUGUGGCUACAUGGAGCUGAGGUGAUCUUUGCUGUCUGCUGAGCUUCACUGUUAUGUCCCGGAAGUAGAAUAAAGUAGAAACGACCAA